rnacentral:rRNA from 1 species
AGGACGAACGCUGGCGGCGUGCUUAACACAUGCAAGUCGAGCGGAAAGGCCCUUCGGGGUACUCGAGCGGCGAACGGGUGAGUAACACGUGAGCAACCUGCCCUUAGCUCCGGGAUAGCUCCGGGAAACCGGAAUUAAAUACCGGAUACGACCACGGCCGACAUCUGCUGUGGUGGAAAGGAUUCCGGCUAAGGAUGGGCUCGCGGCCUAUCAGCUAGUUGGUGGAGUAACGGCCACCAAGGCGACGACGGGUA